GCCUGAGGGAUGCUGACAGCAGGUGCGGAGUCCGGAGGGUUUGGUGGUAGUAAAGAGCCUACACAGCGCUUCAAGCCAAAGRUUUAAUGCUGUUGUGAAGGAGCCCAUGUUGUGCCUGAACACCAGAGAAAAGAUGACCAGAAUCCCCUCCUGGUCCAGGAGCAGGUGGCAGUGCUUCCUUGAUUCACCCAGGCACUAAUAUUCAGAAUCUGGAAAACGUGUCUGCAUAUUUGCAUUUUGAACUUUUACAGAUGAUGUGAAAGUGCAGCUCAUUUGUCACUCUUUGGAAGAAGCCUGGCUGAGCCACCCCAUAUCUUAAUAUGAACAAACUGUGGUUUUGAAGCCUCAGCUGAUUAAGCCUUUUGACUCCCACAUUUUAUUUUUCCCAUGAUGCUGUCUUUCAGGACACCCAGUUUAAGAAGAGUUGCUUGUUCAGUGCAUGUCUAUCCUACUACUUAUUCCAAAAAUAGUAUAAUGGGUUGCUGCUAUGUACUAGUCAUAUGUAGAUGGUGUAGUUGGUAGCCUCAGCAAUAUCAUAAACCUUCAUGCAUGU